AUUCAGCUAACGAGUCCUGAACAGGACGAAACGCGCGUCCUGGAU
rfam:Schistosoma rodhaini strain Burundi genome assembly, scaffold: SROB_scaffold0014360